GGGAUUGUAGCUCAGAGGGAGAGCGCUUACCUUGCAUGCAUGAGGCACUGGGUUCGAUUCUCAGUCCCA
rnacentral:tRNA from 1 species